GGGCCUCUGUGGGCAUCUUACUAGACAGUGCUGGAUUUUUGGAUGUACUCUAACACUGUCUGGUAACGAUGUUUAAAGAGGGAACC
ensembl:miRNA mdo-mir-200a mdo-mir-200a